GAUGAACGCUGGCGGUAUGCUUAACACAUGCAAGUCGAACGGACUCUUCGGAGUUAGUGGCGGACGGGGGAGUAACGCGUGAGAAUCUGGCUUUGGGUUCGGGACAACCACUGGAAACGGUGGCUAAUACCGGAUGUGCCGAGAGGUAAAAGAGAAAUUGCCUGAAGAUGAGCUCGCGUCUGAUUAGCUAGUUGGUGAGGUAAAGGCUCACCAAGGCAGCGAUCAGUAGCUGGUCUGAGAGGAUGACCAGCCACACUGGGACUGAGACACGGCCCAGACUCCUACGGGAGGCAGCAGUGGGGAAUUGUCCGCAAUGGGCGAAAGCCUGACGGAGCAAUACCGCGUGAGGGAAGAAGGCUCUUGGGUUGUAAACCUCUUUUCUUAGGGAAGAACAAAAUGACGGUACCUAAGGAAUCAGCAUCGGCUAACUCCGUG
rnacentral:rRNA from 1 species